UCGGAAGGAAAAUGAUCAAUGACUUCUCCGCCAUCAUUUUUACCAAAUAUCUCCUUAUGAAAUUCAUAGCGGACGACGGCUCCAUAGCCACUAUUCACGGAGACCGCGAGGUCGUAGCAGAAUGUGACAACACCAGUCUAGCUUUACGAAAGAAGUCUCGCAACGCGGCUGGGAUAUUCCUAGCCGACUUGGACGCCCGACAAGAUGGCCAACCCAGACCAGAACCAGAAGGCGACAUGGAAAAACUACAAAUAGGACGAACCAAAGACGAAUACACUUUCAUCAACAGGAACCUCCCAUACGACCUUAAAGAAAACCUUUCUCAAUUUUUGAAACAAAAUAGAGACCUAUUCGCUUUCACACCAGCCGACAUGCCCGGGAUAGACCCCGACCUAAUGUCCCACCGACUAGCCGUAGAUCCCAAAGCCAAACCCGUGGCACAAAGAAGACGAAAAAUGUCCCAGGACCGGGCAGCCGAGGUCAGGAGACAAGUAAAGGCCCUACUCGAGGCAAACUUCAUCAGAGAACUACCAUACACGAUGUGGUUGGCAAAUGUCGUAUUAGUAAAGAAGUCCAACGGGAAAUGGCAAAUGUGCGUCGAUUAUACAGACCUUAACAAAGCUUGUCCAAAAGACGCCUUCCCCCUACCCAACAUCGAUGGAUUGGUAGACGCCGCAUCCGGCCAUCGAUACCCCAGCUUCAUGGAUGCAUACUCCGGCUAUAAUCAAAUACCGAUGCACCGAUCCGACGAGAAAAAAACAGCGUUUAUCACCCCCGACGGAACAUACUGCUACACGGUCAUGCCUUUCGGCCUAAAGAACGCCAGAGCAACCUACCAAAGGCUCGUCAAUAAGAUAUUUCAAAAUCUGUCCGGAACCAAAUUAGAAGUCUACAUAUAUGACAUGCUCGCCAAAACCGAAUCCGGUGAACAACUCAUCAGUGACCUCAGGCUCAUAAUGAACACCCUACGAAAGCAUCGAAUGCGACUCAACCCGACAAAAUGCGUCUUCGGAAUGGAGGCAGGAAAAUUCCUCGGCUUCAUGAUCACGCAACGCGGAGACGAAGCUAACCCAGAGAAAUGUCGUGCCAUCCUCGACAUGACAAGCCCAAAAAACCUCAACGACAUCCAAAAGCUCGCCGGCCGGCUCACAGCGUUAUCCCGCUUCCUCGGAGCAUCGGCACAAAAAGCAAUUUUCUUUUUCAAACUGAUGAAGAAAGGAGCCCCCUUCAAAUGGGAAGCAGAAUGCGAAGAAGCCUUCCAACACUUCAAAAGAGUCCUAGCGGAACCACCAAUUCUCGCCAAACCCCAAACAGGGGAGACCCUCUACCUAUACCUCUCCAUAACGGAAGAGGCACUCGCAGCAGAACUCAUCCGCAAAAACGAGCAGAAAGAACAAAAACCCAUAUACUUCAUAAGCAAGGUCCUACAAGAUGCAGAGACCCGCUACUCACGUCUAGAAAAACUUGCUUUCGCGCUCCUCACGGCCUCCCAGCGCUUACGAAAAUACUUCCAGGCCCAUCCCGUGACGGUCCGGACCGACCAAGUGGUCAAACAGGUACUACAAAAGCCAGACCUAGCAGGAAGAAUGCUAGCAUGGUCCAUCGAGCUGUCCCAAUUCCAAAUCAAGUUUGAACCCCGAAACGCAAUCAAAGCACAAGCCAUGGCCGACUUCAUCGCCAAAAUAACUCUGGGAAAUUCCACUCCCGAGUCAUGGAAGCUGCACGUCGAUGGCUCGUCAAACGUCACCUCCGGACGUGCCGGGGUCAUACUCAAAAGCCAAAACGGGGUCGUAAUCGAACAGUCAGUACGAUAUGAAUUCCCAGUUUCUAUUAAUCAAGCAGAAUAUGAGGCCCUCCUGGCAGGCCUAGUCCUAGCCAAGGACAUCGGAGCAAAAAUCCUAGAAGUAAGCACCGAUUCACAGGUAUUUAGCUCCCAAAUCAACAGAGACUACCAAACACGAGACCCUUUACUCCAACAAUACCUCGCCAAGGUGAACGAACUGAAAGAAGGGUUCAAUCACAUCACCAUACGGCACGUUCCCAAAGAACGAAAUACCAGAGCAGAUCUCCUCUCCAAGCUAGCCAACACCAAACCAGGACACGGCAACAAAUCGCUAAUUCAGGAAGUCAUUAAAUCACCGUCCAUAUCCACAACAGCUAACGCUUGCCUGACACUCUCUGGCCAAGGAUCAUGGACAUACCCUAUCCUACAAUACCUCCUCGAUGGAACACUACCUGAAGACCCCAAAGAGGAGAAACGGACAAAAAGAGAAGUCGCUAACUACGUGGUUGUCGCAGGGCAACUAUACAAACUCGGACUCUCGCAACCCCUCUUCAAAUGCGUCGAACCCGGAGACACGGAGUACAUACUCCGCGAAAUCCACGAAGGUUGUUGUGGCCACCAAAUCGGAGGUAAAACCCUCGCCCAAAAAGUUAUUCGAGCCGGCUACUUCUGGCCCACGGUUAUCCGGGACUCCAUGCAGUUAGCAAAAAACUGCGAUAAAUGCCAAAAGCACGCCAACAUCCACCAGGCCGCCCCGCACCAGCUCAGCAUCAUAUCGGGAGAGCGGCCAUUCGGCACCUGGGGAAUCGACCUUGUCGAACCCCUUCCUACGGCACCCGGCUAACUCUGAUAUCUUAUCGUCGCCAUAGAUUACUACACUAAGUGGAUCGAGGCCGAGCCCCUGGCCUCCAUCAUGGCAACCCAAUGCUAAAAAUUCCUUUGGCGACAGAUCAUCACUCGAUUCGGAAUCUCCGAGAUUGUUAUCUCGGACAACGGAAUCUAAUUUGCUGACAAAAAGUUCAAAGAAUUCCUAGAUGGACUACGUAUAUCCCACCGUUUCAGCUCGGUAGAACACCUCCAAACAAAUGGACAGGUGGAAUCCGCAAACAAAAUAAUCGUCAAAGGACUCAAGAAACGGCUCGUCGAAGCCAAAGGACUAUGGGCCGACGAACUCGGUUCGGUCCUAUGGUUAUACCGAACAACACCCCAAACGACCACAGGGGAGACACCUUUCUGAUUAACAUACGGUAUAGAGGCCGUCAUCCCAGUGGAGAUAGGAGACCUAAGCCCCAGAAAAACGGUCGGAGGGAACGACGAGGAAGCGGAACGCGACCUCAUUGACGAAGAAAGAAGUAUAGCUCAUAUCAGAGAACUGGCCCUAAAACAAAGAAUCAGCUUUAAGGUACAACCACGGCGUCAUCAAACGAGAAUUUGCACCCGACGACCUCGUCCUAUGACGAAAUGACAUCGGAGCCCCGACCCUAGGGGAAGGGAAACUCACCCCCAAUUGGGAAGGACCAUACAGAAUCAAAGCCACCAUCGGAAGGGGAGCAUACAAACUCGAACAACUCAACGACGACGAAGUCCCGAGAACAUGGAACGCCGCCAACUUACGAUGCUACUACACUUAGACCGACCUCCUUAGGCAUUUCAGAGGCAGCAAGCCCCAAAUCCAGUGUCUGUAACUGCUCUGCCACAACAACCACCGGGGAUACGCCCUCGAGUGCGAGCAAGAAGAGGCCAAGCUACCGAUCCUCAC